rnacentral:lncRNA from 1 species
AUCAAGAAUCACUUAAUUCCUUGAGUCUCAAGCUCAUUUGCUCCAGAAGAGCUUAUAAAACCAAAACCAUCCUAAAGUUUGAUGCUUUUUAGACUUGCAUGUCCAAUGCAAGUUGCAACCUUUAUGAAGUCUCUCUAUCCCAUUGAUGUGCACAAAAGUACCCACUAAUUUUAAUAUUUAUAACCUAACAAACUUAGACUAUCUAUGCACUUAUAGGCAGUGUACCUAGUCAGAUUACAGUAUACCUUAGGUAAGUCGGGUGUCGAUCACAGGGAACGGUGGAUUAAUUUAAUAUAUUUGAUUAUAGGUUACAGGUCACACGAAAAUAAUAAAGAAAAUGGUUUAAUAAAUCUCAAACUAGAAAUUAACAACUCUCGAUAAACUAACAAGAAAACAAAUCUCUUCAGGUACUUUGGUUUAGAUAAAUUACGCCUUAAAAACAUAGACAAUUGCAUACACAAAUUCAUUUAUUCAUGUUCACCGAUUCCUAAAAUGAUUAGAUUCGCAUUCGUUAUAACUAAUCCUUUAGCAAACAAGUCAAUUCAAACAGUGAUCAGUUGAUUAAACUAACAUGCUUCCUAGUGUUCAGUUCGUAUNAAUUACUAAUUCAAUUUAACCACUUGUUGAUGGUCAUCAAACAAGGCUCACACAUUAACUUACUUAUUCCCAAGUUAAUCCUAGUUUCACAUUCGUUAUUCCUAGACUUAUAAUCUCGAUGGUCAUCAAAAUCAUAAGAGAUAAGCAAUCAAGCAGAUGUUCAUACAACUCAAUUCACUUAACAAUUAACAGCAAAUAAUCAUCAUUAAUACGUAAGGAUCUUUUAACAAGCUUGGCAAGAUAAAUUAAACAUAAACAAACAAUUCAAUAUAGCAAUUAGUCUAAUAAUCAAAGCUUCAUUCAAUCAUAAACACAAAGUAAAAGGUUUUUACACCCAAAUCAGAAACUAAAUACAGAAUAGUAACACAAUGGAAUGCUAAACAUGGUCACGUUAGCAACCCAUAUGAUUACCGACACGUAUCCGCUCUCCAACCCUUCCGAUCUCCGCUCCCGUUAGCUUAACGGCCUUCCGGCCGCCUUCUAGACCCUCAAAACGGCUUAACAGAAGUUUAAUAUCGACUAAAUUAAGUUGGAAGUCGAAUCCCCCCUUCUGGUUAGCUGAAAAUCGACUUUUAUAACCUUUGUAGCCGACUUACGUACGCUGGGCGUAAGUCGGAUUACGCUGGGCGUACUAAGGAUUUCUACGCGAUUGAGUUUAUCCGGUGCCAGCCAUUACGCGGGGCGUACCCUUAAGUUACGCUGGGCGUAAUUCAAUUUGGUCGCUACGCUUAGCGUAGAAGUGUAUUACGCGGGGCGUAAUUGUUCCUCCAGCAUUUUUAAUUACUUUUAGCUUCUAAGCCCGGUUUCCGCUUCAGUCUUUUCUUUUGUGCUUUAUCGUCAACGAAUAGCUGCAAAUCAUAAUUCAAAGCAUUAUGAGUACUUUUUAGUUCUAAAAGAGAAUAAUAAAGGCCAAAAUAUUAAGAUAUAAUGCAUAAAAAUAUAUAUAAAAAUACACAUAUCAAAAUACCCCACACUUAGCCUUUGCUUGCCCCCAAGCAAAUUUACUUUUAUUUUACCAAUAUCGCACUAAACAAUCCAUUUAAAACUCAGCCAUUAUGUCAAGACCUCAACGCAUACAUUUGUGUCUAAUAUUUUCCUAAAGUACCCCCCAUAUUUUAAAUACUCACAAUCUUCAUAAACACUCGCCCACUUUUUCCGAACAAUGCUCAUUUUAUGCAACCCUCCGAAUCCAUCCGCAGAAAACCUCCUAACCUCAAGGUAUUUUUAGUUGAGCAACCUAAGCAUACAUAAUCUAGAAUUACAACUUUUCGAUACCACUAUGGAGCUCUUUUGGAAUUCUUCAAUUCUUUGACAUUUGAUCUUUGAUUUCUUUGAAUUCACCACCUUUGUUGAUUUGAUUUCUGGUAUCUUCAACUUUUUGAAUUUCUUCAGAAUUUUGAUCUUUUGAUCUUCACUUUAUUUGCUCCAAAAUUCUUCAAACUUUUUUCGUAAUUCUCUCUUUUUUUUUUUUCAUGUAACUCACUUUUUUUUUCACUCAAAACCCUACAUGCUUAAGCAGAGGCGCUCAACCUCAACCUUUAUUGGUUAAUGAUAAUAAUUUUCCUAGAUACAUUUCAGGUUUAGGCUACUAAACAUAUUGCAUCCCUCAAACCAAGCGGGGUUAUGUUUUUGUUCCAUGAUUUCACUAAAAUAAGGGAGACCACAAAUGCACUAUAACGUAUAUUGGCUCAACUAAACAUUUGAGUUCUCAUCGGAUCAUUUCAUACAAUAUUAGCAAAAUUUAAAUUAUGACUAGAUUUUUCUAAAUUAAACUAUUAUUUCAAGUUUCUAAAAUUUUUAAAUUUCCUAAAUCUAGCAAUUUCAUUUUUUCUUUUAAUUUUAAUUUACUUUUACCGACCUCCUACCCCACACUUAUUUCAUACAAUGCCCUCAUUGUAUGCUAAAAUGAAUUAAGAACAUAAAAAGGGAGAAAAAGGAACAGACUCCCCUGGGUAGUUGUGGCGAGAUCGACUGGGGCUGCUACAAGUUGCUCCAAAUAUCGUUGAAAGACUGAAAACUGGAACUGCUGCUUCUGAAUUUGCCGAAAAAUAAAAUCAAGACGGUCGACUUAAAAAAUGUGGUGCAAAAGAUUGCAAAAAAAUGCAAUGUGUAGUAACCAUGACGUGGGAAAGUGUCGACCACAUCGUCUCGUCAAGAAUGACAUCCUCUUCUCUCGCGAUGAAAAACCCCCCACAACAUAGGAAAGUGUCAACCAUGUCGUGGCAGCCGGGAUGAUACUUCUUCCUCGCGUCAAAAUGAAACUCGAUGGUGUGGGAACAACUCAUCCAAAUCAUAAGAGUCAAAAUAUCGUAAAAAAAUGUCAAUCUUCUAAACAAUCGCUCACGAAAUCAAUAUGCACCCCACACUCAUGACAAAUUGUGGGUCUUGACUAUAAUCCUCGAACUCUCACACGACUCUCUCUAGCAACAGUCGGACCUAGCUGCUGAACUUACUGCCAGCUUUCUAAGGGCGAAAAUUCCGCAGAAAUCUAAACAACAAAAAGCAUCAACAUGGAAAACAAAAGUAAAACAAACUAAAUUAAAGUUUAACUACAUACCAAAUAAGAAUACUAAACUAAACUAAAAAUAACACAAAAACACAAAAAUAAAAAUAGAAAGGAUCACUCAUCAUCUCCAUCAUCAUGCUGCUGAGUCCCUGAAGUACCGACCCCAUCAUGUCGUGGCUGGAAUGGUGGUGGGUAGGGAACCGAAUACUGAAACCCAUGGUGGGCAAAGAAUGUGGUCAACGCAUCCCCAUACCACUGCUGUUGCCUAUCCACAUGUGCAACAUACUCACUAAGACGGUCAAUGCCCUGAGCUAGGUAGCACAUAUCACUCUCCGGCUUAGGUCCCUGCUGCGCUCCCCGAGGAGCAGGUCUACGCCGCUGGACCCGUCUCGGUUGUGGCUCGGCGGCACCCUCCUCGUCCGCCACAUCAUAUGCUCGUACUCGCAAGACACCAUCUCCGCCUCGCUCCAAUACACGCAUCGACUCCAACAGCUGAAUGCUCAUCGGCCUCAUAUCGUGGAACACCAUCGAUCUCGUGAUCUCACGCGUCAGCAACUGAUAUGAUCGGGCUAACCGCGUGAUAAAAUGCCCUCCGCAUAUCGGGCUAUCCUCCCGAAGUCCCCUGGCCCUCCGUCCCAAAUAUGCAGCUAAAGCAACUGGAAGGUUCAGGUGCCUCCCUAGAGUAACAAGUGCCCAUAGGAAAUACAAGUCUGUCGAAGGAACUCUCUCACUGUUCUUGUGAUGCGUGAGAGUCAUGGAAAUCAAUCGGUGCAACAAUCUGUAUGUAGUAGACCGUAUCAUCCUACCCCGUGCAGUAGAUGGCGUAUAAACUCCUCCCGUAAUCUCGGCCCAAAAAGUGUUCUCGUUAUACUCGUCUGGCCGCUCCGUAAGACAAUCAGCAAGGAAUGCCAGGAAAUGGACACUCCUCAUCUCAUCUGCUGUGUAAAUACCCACUCGAGUCACAAGCUCUAUGACACUGCAUUCCCGGCUCACUCCCCCCAGUCUGAAGGCAAAAGCUGUCCUGUCAUCGGGUGCCUUCCUAGAAUCAUAGGAAACUGUAGCGUAGAACUCCAACAAAAAUUCCCGAUAAACAGGCUCCUGGAUCCUGAACAAUCGUGCCCAUCCCUGACACACGAACAAAUCCACACCACUCGCGUCCGAGUGCGUGUAUUGCAAAAAUUCCUGGAUCAGUGCAGCUAGUCCAGUCCGGGUCGCCAAGUCCCAAUCAAAUGAGGGAGCUAUGUCGAUCUCCUUGGUGAGCAACAAACUCAAACUGUUGACAUAUCGUGCCCGGGUUGCAUCGUUCAGCGUUUGCGGAAAUUGUAAGAAACGAUGUUCGGUCACAUCCUCGGGUGGGUUAGUCCGUUGAGUUCUUCGGGCCAUAAUCUGCACAAAUAAACACAAAACCAAAACCAAACAAAAUAUAGCAGCAUUAAGAAAUUUUUAAACCAAAAAAAAAAAAAAUUGGAGCUGGACAUGGACAGUACGCUGGGCGUACGUCCAGGUUCACGAGUCUGUGGUUCCCUUGCUUGUUCCCAAAUCAAAAUUUUUUAAAUUAAUCAAAUCUACAAGCAAUAAACCCUGCAGGGGCAAACAGAUGGGCAUAUCGAGCAUAAGGAUUGUGUGGUCCUACACAGUAGAAAAAAAAUGGGACCUCCCUAAAAAUAUGAAUCAAUCCCUGUAAAUUCCUUGUCUAUUAGCAAACACUUAACAGGGAAACAUGUGUAGCAGUCAAGAAUCGAAGCCAACAGGGGUUACGCUAGGCAUACGUCCCCGAGUUUAAAUCGAUGGGUGUGGGACGGGAUUAAGACCAAAUUAAGUCCUAGGGUUUAGUUAAUUGAUAGAAAUCGGUCCAUUCAAGUGGUAAUCAGAACAUAUAUUUGCGAAAUCGGCCCUAAUUCAAGAACUAUAUAAACCCUAGAUUUCGAACAAAGGCAAUUUGCAGCCAAUUUCGUCGAUUUAAACAUAAAUCCAUAAUAUUGAGUACCCGAAAAACAUACAUGUAUGUCGGAUUUUACAAGAAAAGAAGCAAAAUCGGGACUUUGUGAAGAAGUUCGUCGUCACAGCGUAUGCGAGAGUAGAAGAGGUUUGAAAGAAUAACAAAAAAGUCAAGGGUCAAAAGAUAUAACCUGGUCGUCGUCUUACGCUGGGCGUAACACGAAGUUACGUUGGGCGUAACCCCAUCUCCGUGAAAAGUGUAUCCGCGAUCCGGGGUUUAUUACGCUUGGCGUAAUCAAACUUACGCUGGGCGUAAGUUCAAAUGAAACUUUUCCUUUUUCUUUAAUUUAAAUUCCUUUUCUUUUAAUUAUUUAAUUAAGGGACUUAAAACUUAAUUAUUUUUUCUUUUUAAUUUCUUCAGCAACUGAUGACUUUCCGAUGAGUGAAAAAAAUGAGACGUCACAAUCACUUAUCUUUGUCAAGAUCAAACAACAAUGGUUGAUUAAAAACCUUUGCAUGCAAGAAUUGGUUUGCGAAAACACCCACUUUCGGGACCCGUUAGAAUAUUUCCUUUGUUUUCCUUGCACCUUUAACUAAAAGCGGAACAAGAAGUGACCUAACUAGUAAAGAACAGCAAGAGCUCGGUCUUCCACUUAACCACCACAAUACGCCUUGCUAUACUACGCCUCAUGGAUUGAGUUGGACAAAUCAACAAAGUAGUAGGCUAAGCAGGUCAAGAAUUCCCUAAUCGCUUUCAUCNAAAUCAACAAAGUAGCAGGCUAAGCAGAUCAAGAAUUCCCUAAUCGCUUUCAUCCUCGAAACCCAUGCAAAAAGUAAAGUCAAACAAUGUGUACAAUCCCAAAUUCCUGCAAAUAACAAGAACCUUCCCGACAAGUGAAAUGAUAUCAACGAAAAUCAAACUAAAAAUAAAAACUAACUACAAAAAAAUAACGAAUAAUCAAAUAAACUAAAUUAACGACAAGUUGUUCCCUGGCAACGGCGCCAAAAACUUGAUGUGCACAAAAGUACCCACUAAUUU